rnacentral:lncRNA from 1 species
GGCACGUCCGACUGUCUGUCUGUCGGUCGGUCCCCAGUGGCCAACCUCUUGGUGUGGGUGGGGAAGCAGGGACGCGCCCUCCACCCACCGUAGACCAGCGAGCACCUAGACCGAGCGCGGAAGGAGGACCUGAACGGUAUCAGGUGUGACCUAGAGGCCGAGCACCACAGGCUAGAUCGACUGGGACUGGCCGAGACCCAGUGCUAUCUAAGGACAAUGACAUCUCAUCUCAAAAAAAAAAAAAAAAAAAAAAACAAAAGAAAAAGAAAAAGAGAAAAAUAGCAAAGUAUUUUGAGUACUUC